GUCUACGGCCAUACCACCCUGAACAUGCCCGAUCUCGUCUGAUCUCAGAAGCUAAGCAGGGUUGGGCUUGGUUAGUACUUGGAUGGGAGAAAACCCCAUCAUCUCAGCCC
rnacentral:rRNA from 10 species